rnacentral:rRNA from 1 species
ACUAAAUUAAUUUAUAUAUAAUGGCGGUCCUAAUAUUUUAAAGAAACUCGCCCCCUAAUCGUAAAUACUCGUUAACUUUAACUUAAGUAAUCAGCUUAUAUACCGCCGUUACAAACCUAUACAAAACUAUAGUUUAAAAUACCCCUUAAAAGUAAAAAAUCAGGUCAAGGUGUAGCUAACACUUAAAGAUGGGUAAGUUACACUAAAAACAAUUUAAGGAAAAUUAAACAAUAAUUAAUCAAGAAAAAGAAUUUAUAUAUACAUUUUAAUCAAAAAUCAAAGUAGAAACAACACAAAAGGAUGC